UCUCUCGUAGUUUAGUGGUUAGAACAAUGGUACGUAAAGCCAAGGGUCCCGGGUUCGGUUCCCGGCGGGGGUG
rfam:Agrilus planipennis Contig20286, whole genome shotgun sequence.